rnacentral:rRNA from 1 species
CGGACCGGCGCACGGGUGAGUAACACGUAUGCAACCUGGCCGUCACAGGUGGAUAACCGGAAGAAAUUCCGACUAAUACAGCAUAACACUCCUGAGGGACAUCCUUCGGGAGUCAAAGGAGGCAACUCCGGUGACGGAUGGGCAUGCGGCGCAUUAGGUAGUUGGUAGGGUAACGGCCUACCAAGCCGACGAUGCGUAGGGGUUCUGAGAGGAAGGUCCCCCACAUUGGAACUGAGACACGGUCCAAACUCCUACGGGAGGCAGCAG